AUGUGGAAAACCAAUUGGCCCUGGCAGAUCAGGAGAUAUGAUGAGAAGAAAUUCAUUGCCAGGUUCCCCCCAAACAAGAAGAUCAAGGAUUUGGUAGAGUACCCUUCCAUCAAUCUGAAAAAAGAAGGGGUGACUAUCUCAUUUAGUGAUUGGAAUGGAGAAAUGCCAGCCUAUGACUCCCUAGAAGAAACCUGGAUUGUGAUUGAAGGGCUGCCUCCCAAGUGGAUAUCUUGGUACAUUAUCACACAAGUGGCAACUAUGCUUGGUGUCCUGGUUAAUGUUGACUGGCACACCAUCUUCAGAAGCUUCUAUGAGAAGGUGAGGAUCCAAGUGGCUGUGAGAGACUCAACUAAAAUCCCCAGAGACAGGGUGGUGGAGAUCCACCAUGAACUUUAUUUGCUAAAGUUUUCUGUGGAGACUGAGUUAGCAAGUGAACAUGAUUCUGAUAUUCCUCCAGGCCCUGAUGACAACAACCCCUCUCAGAAAAAGCAUACCGAAGAUGAGUUUGAUACAAGUGAAGAUGAUGUGCUGGGAGAGGAUAUGGACACUGGAAAUAGUAACACCAACAUCAAGGACAAGCCUCCAGCUGCUGGUUCAACUGGUGCCAAGUCUAUCCAGAAGUGCUCCACUCCUGCUCCUAGAUCCAAUAUGGAAAAUUCUGUUUUCUCCAAGAUUCUGGGUGCCCCUAUGACCAAAAGCUUUCUUGAGAUAGUGAAGAAGCCCAAUGAAAACAUAGGUGGCCCUCUCCUGGAACUAUUUGAUGCUGCUGCUGAUUUGAGCAAACCUAUUUCUCAGAAGAGCCUUGGCACUAAACAGAAAUGGGGGCCUCUGGUGGCCUCCAGAGUUAACACCAAGAACAAGAGAGAUGGAAAACCUGCUCUUCAAAAAGCUCAGGAACUGAAACAGAUUAAAAAUCUGGAAGUGCCUAUUGUAAGAAAAGGUGACCUGGAGGAUAUAUGGAAAAAGGAAGAAAUCAAGGCCAGGCAGAGAUACAGAGAGAGACAUAUUGGAAGGAGACCUGAAUGCUGGCUACUUCAAAGCUAUAGCUAA
rnacentral:rRNA from 1 species